rnacentral:rRNA from 1 species
GACGAACGCUGGCGCGUGCUUAACACAUGCCAGUCGCACGGAAAGGCCCUGCUUUUGUGGGGUGCUCGAGUGGCGAACGGGUGAGUAACACGUGAGUAACCUGCCCUUGACUUUGGGAUAACUUCAGGAAACUGGGGCUAAUACCGGAUAGGAGCUCCUGCUGCAUGGUGGGGGUUGGAAAGUUUCGGCGGUUGGGGAUGGACUCGCGGCUUAUCAGCUUGUUGGUGGGGUAGUGGCUUACCAAGGCUUUGACGGGUAGCCGGCCUGAGAGGGUGACCGGCCACAUUGGGACUGAGAUACGGCCCAGACUCCUACGGGAGGCAGCAGUGGGGAAUAUUGCACAAUGGGCGGAAGCCUGAUGCAGCAACGCCGCGUGCGGGAUGACGGCCUUCGGGUUGUAAACCGCUUUCGCCUGUGACGAAGCGUGAGUGACGGUAAUGGGUAAGGAAGCACCGGCUAACUACGUG